AUAAUACUCCCUCCGUCCGUAAAUACUUGUCAUAGGAUUGGAUGUAUCUAGAUGCAUUUUAGUUCUUUAUACAUUCAUUUUUAUACAUUUGUGUGACAAAUAAUUCUAGACGAAGGGAGUAAUAA
rnacentral:pre_miRNA from 1 species